rnacentral:rRNA from 1 species
UACGUAGGGUGCAAGCGUUGUCCGGAAUUAUUGGGCGUAAAGAGCUCGUAGGCGGUCUGUUGCGUCGGCUGUGAAAUCCCGAGGCUCAACCUCGGGUCUGCAGUCGAUACGGGCAAACUUGAGUGUUGCAGGGGAGACUGGAAUUCCUGGUGUAGCGGUGAAAUGCGCAGAUAUCAGGAGGAACACCAACGGCGAAGGCAGCUCGCUGGGACGGUACUGACGCUGAGGCGCGAAAGCGUGGGGAGCAAACAGG